GGAUCCAGAGUGCCAGUAUAUCCUCCGUAAGGCCAGCUGACUCUUAAUCAGCGGGUCCCAGGUUCGAGCCCUGGUGCGCCCACCA
rnacentral:tRNA from 1 species